AAUAUUCUGGAAUCACAAACACUCAAAGGUCAGACCGGCCCCAAAUGACUGACGAAGAAGAGAAAACAUCCGUGUGCUGGUUGGGGAUGAAGGAGCGGGCCGGGUUCCUGUUCCGCACCAGCUCCCAAGAGGCUGUAGGAAUCUUCCAGCCCUGACACGGGGACCAGGUGUGAUGUGGGGCCCUGGGAACCGACCUCGAGGCCCUGGUGCUUUGCGGGCAGCUUCCCAACAGACUGACAGAUGAAAAAGUGUGUGUACGAGGAUAUGGUGGACCAUGUGGGUCAGCGUGGAGCGAGCCAGGGAGAGACAGGCGUGGGUCUAGGAGGUGCAGUGUCGACCCUGCAGCUACGGUCGAAGCCGUGAACAUGGGAUUGCUGCCCCCCUGGAGUGUUUGAAGGCAGCAGCCGCAGCCCCACCUUCCUGGCCCCUCAGAUCCCUGACUGCAAUACAGGCAGGGGCUCCCCUGGCAGGUAAGCUCUGUGGUGAUGGUCUAGGAAUCCCUCCUCUGGGCCCAGUCUCCAGGCUGUUCCUCCAGCCCUUCCAAUAAUCUGUGAGCA
rnacentral:lncRNA from 1 species